CAGAAAAUUUAAUUUUUUGUUCAAAGAAACCGAACUGCCCGAACUUUUGAAUUAUUAAUACGGAAGUUUGAGCUUUUUAUUGUAAAGAUGCAGACUUAGGCCCAGCCCAUACCUAAACAAACCCACAAUCCCUUACGCCUCAACAAAUAAACCUUUUAUUCGUUCAUGCCCUCUACCCCUCCCGCCUAUUGCUUUGGCCUUCUGCCUCUGGCCGAAGGGCUUUGCCCUAGGUUUUUGGCAAUUCUCCCCUUCGGACGACUCUUCGCUGUCCCCUGGCCAUCGCGAUUCUUUCUUCUCUGCAUCGUCCUUUGUCCUGGUCCUCAUCCUCUGGCCAUAGAGAUAGGAGACUCGUCCACCGCGAUUCUUCCAUCUCUGCAGAUUUGAAGCUCAAGCAAUCUUUUGCCCUAGGUAGACUCAAAGCUCAUGUAAUCUUUGCAGCAAGUUACUGGAAUUGGGACUUGGGCAAAUGAGGUAUUGGCUAUGUAGAACUGCGGCGUUUUGUUUACUUGGGCUUCUUCUAAAUUGACAAACCAAACUGAACUGAUUCAGUUCAAUUCUUCUGUCAUUUGUUCUGUUCGAAACAAAACCGACCAAUUACACACCUCCAUCGCCAUGUCAGUAUCAGUUUGAUAGUUUUACAUUAUAUUUAUUCAAAACAGAGCAUACAAAUGAGUACAGCUCUGUGGGUUAAAAACUUAAAUUAAUUAUUCAUCAUUUAGCAAA